ACUCCGUAAGGUCGACUGGUGGCAGCACGUUGAACGUCAGAUUUGACUUUUUGAAACCAACAGUUAAGAUUUAAGCGCAGAUUGAAGGAAGAAAACCGGUGAAACCGGUUAUGGUAAGGUCGAGCACGUACACGGCCGCUUAAAAGGUUGUUUUACCCUGUCCGUCUGGCUCUCUCUCUCCCUAAACUUCUGCAAGCGGCCCUCUCUCCCUCAAUCCGUCACCAGACGCCCCAUGUAGCCUCUCUCUCUCUUCCCUCUUUCUCCGAUGGCGGAUUCGAUGAGCAGCGACGACGAGCAGGAUUACUAAUCCGAUCGAGACUCCCUCCAAGGAAUCGAAAACGACAAUGAAGACGAUUGCGAUUGGCCUUCUCCAAACGUGCCCUCUUGUCAGGCCAUCCAUGGGUUCAGGUUGAUGGUAUAGCUCCUGAUAAGCCUGUUGAUUCUGCAAUUCUAAGUCGCAUGAAGCAAUUCUCUGCUAUGAACAAGAUCAAGGAAAUGGCCCUCAGAGUGACUCAAGUUGCUUGCUGCAAUUUAUACUUUAUCUACAACUAGUUGAAGGUGAACUUAACCUCAACCCAUUUUUAGAAGCAUUUUGCCCUUGACAAGUUAAUUCAGCAGCAUAAGAAGAAAUGAGUCUCAUUUUUAUUUUCUUUGAUCUAUCUGAAUUUUAUUAGAAAAAGAGUCGGUGAUCUCCACUGUCAUAGCCUUGUUUCGGCUUUCAUCUUUUUAGAUCCUGCUUUUAUGGAUCUAAAAGGAAAUAUAUUACAAUAAAUGUUAUCUUGUUAUUGUAUGGAUAUGUCACUGUUAUGUUUCCAUAGUGAACAUGUCUGACCACAUAUUUAUACAAAUCUUUAGGGUCCUCUGUCUC